GGAUGUGAGGGUGAUCUGGCUUCUACAUCUGUCACCCCAUUGAUCACCAGAGUUUAUUCAGCAGAUUUGGCUGGCUAGGUGGGUGUCUUCUUCCUCCCUCACCACUCCAUGUGCGUCCCACCUUGGUCAAAGAGGACGGCCUUCCCUGAAGAGAGUCAGACCAGUCUUCAGUCUAGGGUAUAUGAGUAGCUGCACUCCCCUGCUAGAACCUCCAAACAAGCUCUCAGGGUCUGAGUGAGCUAUUUCAGUGGCCCAAAUCAAAGGCCUUCUCAGUUGGUAUAUUUUCAAUAAGCAAUGUUUUCAAUAUGA
rnacentral:snRNA from 1 species